AUUGAACGCUGGCGGCAUGCUUUACACAUGCAAGUCGAGCGGCAGCGCGGGGCAACCUGGCGGCGAGCGGCGAACGGGUGAGUAAUGCAUCGGAACGUAUCCCGGAGUGGGGGACAACCCAGCGAAAGCUGGGCUAAUACCGCAUAUGCUCUGAGGAGGAAAGUGGGGGACCGCAAGGCCUCACGCUUUGGGGGCGGCCGAUGUCCGAUUAGGUCUAGUUGGUGGGGUAACGGCUUACCAAGGCGACGAUCGGUAGCUGGUCUGAGAGGAUGAUCAGCCCCACUGGGACUGGGACACGGCCCAGACUCCUACGGGAGGCAGCAGUGGGGAAUUUUGGACAAUGGGGGCAACCCCGAUCCAGCCAUGCCGCGUGCGGGAAGAAGGCCUUCGGGUUGUAAACCGCUUUUAGCUGGGAAGAAAAGGCCACGGUUAAUACCCGUGGUUCUUGACGGUACCGGCGGAAUCAGCACCGGCUAACUACGUGCCAGCCGCCGCUGUAA
rnacentral:rRNA from 1 species